rnacentral:rRNA from 1 species
GUGGGGAAUCUUAGACAAUGGGCGCAAGCCUGAUCUAGCCAUGCCGCGUGAGCGAUGAAGGCCUUAGGGUUGUAAAGCUCUUUCGCUGGGGAAGAUAAUGACUGUACCCAGUAAAGAAGCCCCGGCUAACUCCGUGCCAGCAGCCGCGGUAAUACGGAGGGGGCUAGCGUUGUUCGGAAUUACUGGGCGUAAAGCGCGCGUAGGCGGAUUGGAAAGUUGGGGGGGAAAUCCCGGGGCUCAACCUCGGAACUGCCUUCAAAACUCCCAGUCUUGAGUUCGAGAGAGGUGAGUGGAAUUCCGAGUGUAGAGGUGAAAUUCGUAGAUAUUCGGAGGAACACCAGUGGCGAAGGCGGCUCACUGGCUCGAUACUGACGCUGAGGUGCGAAAGCGUGGGGAGCAAACAGGAUUAGAAACCCUGGUAGUCC